rnacentral:rRNA from 1 species
UGCCUUACACAUGCAAGUCGAACGGCAGCACGGGAGCUUGCUCCUGGUGGCGAGUGGCGAACGGGUGAGUAAUAUAUCGGAACGUGCCCUAGAGUGGGGGAUAACUAGUCGAAAGAUUAGCUAAUACCGCAUACGAUCUAAGGAUGAAAGUGGGGGAUCGCAAGACCUCAUGCUCGUGGAGCGGCCGAUAUCUGAUUAGCUAGUUGGUGAGGUAAAGGCUCACCAAGGCGACGAUCAGUAGCUGGUCUGAGAGGACGACCAGCCACACUGGAACUGAGACACGGUCCAGACUCCUACGGGAGGCAGCAGUGGGGAAUUUUGGACAAUGGGCGCAAGCCUGAUCCAGCAAUGCCGCGUGAGUGAAGAAGGCCUUCGGGUUGUAAAGCUC